UGAGCCCAAGAAGGGCAAUGCUCCCUGUUGUCUUCAUAGCAGAGAUGGUUGUAUAGCCUGUUACUUGCAGAUCUGUUGCUGCUGAGUUCAGUAGAUGGUUCUCAGCCUUCUCACUCUGCACUAUAUAUAUAUACAUCUCCCCAAGCUUGUGAUGUCAUCACAGAAAGUAAUUAUUUGCUCUGUAAACUAAGAAAAUGGUAUUGAUUAUUGAGUUGAGCUGUAAAGAACACUUGUAUGUUAGAGAGAUGACCAGAAGAAUUAAGCAAAAAUGUGAGCUACACCCAGCUUGUUAACAUUUCCUGGUACACUGGAUUUCUCAUCAACAGGAGGGAAGCAGUCAGCACAGAAGAAAGCAUUGCCUAAAACUUCAGAAGUCUAAAAGACAUUUCUAUGCAGGAGGAAGAGUUAUUCAUCUGUUGGUCAUCUGUUAGUCAAUGGGCAUGAACCUGAUUCAAAAUGGUGAGAUUAAGCAUCCUCUUAAUGGCAAAUGAGUGGUAUUCUGUGCAGGUGAAAUGGGCUUCUUAAUACCAAAGGCAGGCAAGAAAGAUUUGCAGCAGCUGCAAACAGAAGA